rnacentral:rRNA from 1 species
UACAGAGGGUGCAAGCGUUGUUCGGAAUUAUUGGGCGUAAAGCGCGUGUAGGCGGCUUGUUAAGUCGGGUGUGAAAGCCCUCAGCUCAACUGAGGAAGUGCGCCCGAAACUGGCGAGCUUGAGUGUCGGAGAGGAUGGCGGAAUACCCCAAGUAGAGGUGAAAUUCGUAGAUAUGGGGUGGAACACCGGUGGCGAAGGCGGCCAUCUGGACGACAACUGACGCUGAGACGCGAAAGCCAGGGGAGCAAACGGG